CAAUAGCGUAUAUUAAAGUUGUUGCAGUUAGAACGCUCGUAGUCGGAUUUCGGGGCGGGCCGACCGGUCUGCCGAUGGGUACGCACUGGUCGGCGCGUCCUUCCUUCCGGAGACCGUGCCUACUCUUAACUGAGCGGGGGCGGGAGACGGAUCGUUUACUUUGAAAAAAUCAGAGUGUUUCAAGCAGGCAGCUCGCUCUUGCAUGGAUUAGCAUGGGAUAAUGAAAUAGGACUUUGGUGCUAUUUUGUUGGUUUCGAACACCGAAGUAAUGAUUAACAGGGACAGUCAGGGGCACUCGUAUUCCGCCGAGAGAGGUGAAAUUCUCAGACCAGCGGAAGACGAACUACUGCGAAAGCAUUUGCCAGGGAUGUUUUCACUGA
rnacentral:rRNA from 1 species